UAAUCUUCAAGCCCCUGCAUAACUUAGUCCUUGCCUGCUUCAUUUUUCCUUUGCUUCCUCCCUUCUCUGUUCAAAAUGUGCAGCUACCUAACCUCUGCUGUGUCCUUACUGCUGUUUGAGUCUGGGCCCUUUUCCAAGCGACUUCUAAUGUAUGCCUGGACCACACUCCUGAAUCCAUCUGAUGCCUCCAAUUUCAAGGCUA